GAGUCUCUAGCUCAAUUGAAGAGCACGACGCUGAUAAUGUCGAGGUUGCCGGUUAGAUUCCGGCGAGAUCA
rnacentral:tRNA from 1 species